UACAAUAUCCAAACAUUCAAUCCAAUGUAAAGUAUUUAAAAUUAGUAGUUGUCUUUUCAGAGUAGAUCCAAAUAGUCUACCUUUUUAUCUUAUCAGAAGGCAGUGUGGAGAAAGGUGGAUUUCAGUACAGAAGGCAGUGAGUGUGGAGAAAGGUGGAUUUCAGUACAGAAGGCAGUGAGUGUGGAGAAAGGUGGAUUUCAGUACAGAAGGCAGUGAGUGUGGAGAAAGGUGGAUUUCAGUACAGAAGGCAGAGUGGAGAAAGGUGGAUUUCAGUACAGAAGGCAGUGAGUGUGGAGAAAGGUGGAUUUCAGUAAAGAAGGCAGUGAGUGUGGAGAAAGGUGGAUUUCAGUACAGAAGGCAGUGAGUGUGGAGAAAGGUGGAUUUCAGUACAGAAGGCAGUGAGUGUGGAGAAAGGUGGAUUUCAGUACAGAAGGCAGUGAGUGUGGAGAAAGGUGGAUUUCAGUACAGAAGGCAGUGAGUGUGGAGAAAGGUGGAUUUCAGUACAGAAGGCAGUGAGUGUGGAGAAAGGUGGAUUUCAGCACAGAAGGCAGUGUGGAGAAAGGUGGAUUUCAGUACAGAAGGCAGUGAGUGUGGAGAAAGGUGGAUUUCAGUACAGAAGGCAGUGAGUGUGGAGAAAGGUGGAUUUCAGUACAGAAGGCAGUGUGGAGAAAGGUGGAUUUCAGUACAGAAGGCAGUGUGGAGAAAGGUGGAUUUCAGUACAGAAGGCAGUGUGGAGAAAGGUGGAUUGAUGACUUGGUUGUGAAGUAUAGCAUAUUGGCCAGAAGGUGUAAGCUGGGGCAACUCUUCUUCAUCACAGAACUGAAGCGGAGGAACAUUGCGGAAAAGGCAUUCUAAGGAGUAACAUGUUUAACUGAAAAGAAAACAGGAGAGAAUUUAAAACACUGCUUUGGAAAGCAUACAGCUAGGCUGCCAUGGAGUAGCAUAGCAGUAACAGUGGUCAUCUAGUUUGAUUAUUGGUUUGUUUCUAGUCUGUGUGAUGAUUAUAGUCUAGAUGGAAUGUUCUCCCAAAGGCUCUUGUGUUAAAGGCUUGGUGACCAGUGGAUGGGCUUGUCAGAAGGAGGAGUUUGGCCUCAUAGGACAUUGCUGGAGAUGGUGGAAAGCAGGAGAUGGACUAAACUGGAGGAAGCAGGUUACUGGGACCAUGGCCUGGAAAGAUGUUUCUUGCUCCUUGCUGCUUCCAACUGCAGUGAAGAGAGCCAUCCUGUCCCACUGCCCCCUCCCUAUGAUGUUCUGCCUCACACAGGCCCACAAUGGCGGAACCAAAGAACAAACUGAGAGCUCAGCCAGACCACUCAGCCUCUGAGAACCUCAGGAUUAUCUCCCAUCAAAGGAGAUAGAAAGAUCUUACGUAUAUAGACUUUUUUUAAAUAAGAUGAAGAUGAAACAGUGAUGCUGCAAAAAUAGUUCAUUAUCACUUUCUAUAAUUGUUUAUUUUCUUUUGUUUUCAAAACAAGGUCUCACUAUUAUAACCC